rnacentral:rRNA from 1 species
UGUUUAUUUUACGUUGUUGCUUCGGCGGGCCCGCCUUAACUGGCCGCCGGGGGGCUUACGCCCCCGGGCCCGCGCCCGCCGAAGACACCCUCGAACUCUGUCUGAAGAUUGUAGUCUGAGUGAAAAUAUAAAUUAUUUAAAACUUUCAACAACGGAUCUCUUGGUUCCGGCAUCGAUGAAGAACGCAGCGAAAUGCGAUACGUAAUGUGAAUUGCAAAUUCAGUGAAUCAUCGAGUCUUUGAACGCACAUUGCGCCCCCUGGUAUUCCGGGGGGCAUGCCUGUCCGAGCGUCAUUUCUGCCCUCAAGCACGGCUUGUGUGUUGGGCCCCGUCCUCCGAUCCCGGGGGACGGGCCCGAAAGGCAGCGGCGGCACCGCGUCCGGUCCUCGAGCGUAUGGGGCUUUGUCACCCGCUCUGUAGGCCCGGCCGGCGCUUGCCGAUCAACCCAAAUUUUUAUCCAGGUUGACCUCGGAUCAGGUAGGGAUACCCGCUGAACUUAAGCAUAUCAAUAA